UACGGAGGGGGCUAGCGUUGUUCGGAAUUACUGGGCGUAAAGCGUACGUAGGCUGCUUUGUAAGUUAGAGGUGAAAGCCCGGAGCUCAACUCCGGAAUUGCCUUUAAGACUGCAUCGCUUGAAUCAUGGAGAGGUUAGUGGAAUUCCGAGUGUAGAGGUGAAAUUCGUAGAUAUUCGGAAGAACACCAGUGGCGAAGGCGACUAACUGGACAUGUAUUGACGCUGAGGUACGAAAGCGUGGGGAGCAAACAGG
rnacentral:rRNA from 1 species